UAAUCGUGCUACAAUUUUGGUCAAAAC
rnacentral:piRNA from 1 species